rnacentral:rRNA from 1 species
AUUGAACGCUGGCGGCAUGCCUUACACAUGCAAGUCGAACGGCAGCACGGGGGCUUGCACCUGGUGGCGAGUGGCGAACGGGUGAGUAAUACAUCGGAACGUACCUUACCGUGGGGGGUAACGCAGCGAAAGCUGUGCUAGUAACGCAUACGCCCUGAGGGGGAAAGCGGGGGAUGGCAAGACCUGGCGCGAGUAGAACGGCCGAGGCCGGAUUAGCUUGUUGGUGGGGUAAGAGCCCACCAAGGCGACGAUCAGUCGCUGGUCGGGGAGGACGAUCAGCCACACUGGGCCUGAGCCACGGCCAAGACUCCUACGGGAGGCAGCAGUGGGGAAUUUUGGACAAUGGGGGCAACCCUGCUCCGGCAAUGCCGCGUGAGUGAAGAAGGCCUUCGGUUUGUAAAGCUCUUUUGUCAGGGAAGAAACACCGGCUCUAACACAGUCUGGGAAUGACGGUACCUGAAGAAUAAGCACCGGCUAACUACGUGCCAGCAGCCGCCGUAA